rnacentral:tRNA from 1 species
UGAGAGCUAGUGAACCUGUGACACGAAUGAAUUUGGAUCAUUAAAAGGAAUUAAAAAUUCCGCUCUCAAC